GACGAACGCUGGCGGCGUGCUUAACACAUGCAAGUCGAACGGAAAGGCCCUGCUUUUGUGGGGUGCUCGAGUGGCGAACGGGUGAGUAACACGUGAGUAACCUGCCCUUGACUUUGGGAUAACUUCAGGAAACUGGGGCUAAUACCGGAUAGGAGCUCCUGCUGCAUGGUGGGGGUUGGAAAGUUUCGGCGGUUGGGGAUGGACUCGCGGCUUAUCAGCUUGUUGGUGGGGUAGUGGCUUACCAAGGCUUUGACGGGUAGCCGGCCUGAGAGGGUGACCGGCCACAUUGGGACUGAGAUACGGCCCAUACUCCUACGGGAGGCAGCAGUGGGGAAUAUUGCACAAUGGGCGGAAGCCUUAUGCAGCAACGCCGCGUGCGGGAUGACGGCCUUCGGGUUGUAAACCGCUUUCGCCUGUGACGAAGCGUGAGUGACGGUAAUUGGUAAAGAAGCACCGGCUAACUACGUG
rnacentral:rRNA from 1 species